rnacentral:rRNA from 1 species
ACCAACAAGCUUGCUUGUUGGGGUUGUAGGACUCCAAUAUGGUAGUCUGUUAGUAUAGUUGAAGGAUUUGGAAAAUUCCGCUAAAGAGGGUGAAAGCCCCGUAGACGAAAUGCUAACAACACCUAGGAGGAUCCUGAGUACGGCGGAACACGAGAAAUUCCGUCGGAAUCCGCGGGGACCAUCCCGCAAGGCUAAAUACUCCCUAGUGACCGAUAGUGAACCAGUACCGUGAGGGAAAGGUGAAAAGCACCCCGGAAGGGGAGUGAAAUAGAUCCUGAAACCGUGUGCCUACAACAAGUCAAAGCUCGUUAAUGAGUGAUGGCGUGCCUUUUGUAGAAUGAACCGGCGAGUUACGAUUGCAUGCGAGGUUAAGUCGAAGAGACGGAGCCGCAGCGAAAGCGAGUCUGAAUAGGGCGAAUGAGUAUGUAGUCGUAGACCCGAAACCAUGUGAUCUACCCAUGUCCAGGUUGAAGGUGCGGUAAAACGCACUGGAGGACCGAACCCACGUACGUUGAAAAGUGCGGGGAUGAGGUGUGGGUAGCGGAGAAAUUCCAAACGAACUUGGAGAUAGCUGGUUCUCUCCGAAAUAGCUUUAGGGCUAGCCUCGGAAUUGAGAAUGAUGGAGGUAGAGCACUGUUUGGACUAGGGGCCCAUCUCGGGUUACCGAAUUCAGAUAAACUCCGAAUGCCAUUCAUUUAUAUCCGGGAGUCAGACUGCGAGUGAUAAGAUCCGUAGUCGAAAGGGAAACAGCCCAGACCACCAGCUAAGGUCCCAAAAUAUAUGUUAAGUGGAAAAGGAUGUGGGGUUGCACAGACAACUAGGAUGUUGGCUUAGAAGCAGCCACCAUUUAAAGAGUGCGUAAUAGCUCACUAGUCGAGUGACCCUGCGCCGAAAAUGUACCGGGGCUAAACAUAUUACCGAAGCUGUGGACUACACCAUUAGGUGUAGUGGUAGGAGAGCGUUCUAAGGGCGUUGAAGGUCGAUCGUGAGGACGGCUGGAGCGCUUAGAAGUGAGAAUGCCGGUAUGAGUAGCGAAAGACAGGUGAGAAUCCUGUCCACCGUAUGACUAAGGUUUCCUGGGGAAGGCUCGUCCGCCCAGGGUUAGUCGGGACCUAAGCCGAGGCCGAUAGGCGUAGGCGAUGGACAACAGGUUGAUAUUCCU